rnacentral:rRNA from 1 species
UACGAAGGGGGCUAGCGUUGCUCGGAAUCACUGGGCGUAAAGGGUGCGUAGGCGGGUCUUUAAGUCAGGGGUGAAAUCCUGGAGCUCAACUCCAGAACUGCCUUUGAUACUGAGGAUCUUGAGUCCGGGAGAGGUGAGUGGAACUGCGAGUGUAGAGGUGAAAUUCGUAGAUAUUCGCAAGAACACCGGUGGCGAAGGCGGCUCACUGGCUCAUUUCUGACGCUCAGGCGCGACAGCGUGGGGAUCAAACAGG